UACGUAGGGUGCGAGCGUUAAUCGGAAUUACUGGGCGUAAAGCGUGCGCAGGCGGUUUUGUAAGUCAGAUGUGAAAUCCCCGGGCUCAACCUGGGAACUGCGUUUGAAACUACAAGGCUAGAGUGUGGCAGAGGGGGGUGGAAUUCCACGUGUAGCAGUGAAAUGCGUAGAGAUGUGGAGGAACACCGAUGGCGAAGGCAGCCCCCUGGGUUAACACUGACGCUCAGGCACGAAAGCGUGGGGAGCAAACAGGAUUAGAUACCCUGGUAGUCCACGCCCUAAACGAUGUCAACUAGUUGUCGGGUCUUAACGGACUUGGUAACGUAGCUAACGCGUGAAGUUGACCGCCUGGGGAGUACGGUCGCAAGAUUAAAACUUAAAUGAAUUGACGG
rnacentral:rRNA from 1 species